rnacentral:rRNA from 2 species
AGAGUUUGAUCAUGGCUCAGAUUGAACGCUGGCGGCAGGCCUAACACAUGCAAGUCGAGCGGUAGCACAGAGAGCUUGCUCUCGGGUGACGAGCGGCGGACGGGUGAGUAAUGUCUGGGAAACUGCCUGAUGGAGGGGGAUAACUACUGGAAACGGUAGCUAAUACCGCAUAACGUCGCAAGACCAAAGUGGGGGACCUUCGGGCCUCAUGCCAUCAGAUGUGCCCAGAUGGGAUUAGCUAGUAGGUGGGGUAACGGCUCACCUAGGCGACGAUCCCUAGCUGGUCUGAGAGGAUGACCAGCCACACUGGAACUGAGACACGGUCCAGACUCCUACGGGAGGCAGCAGUGGGGAAUAUUGCACAAUGGGCGCAAGCCUGAUGCAGCCAUGCCGCGUGUGUGAAGAAGGCCUUCGGGUUGUAAAGCACUUUCAGCGGGGAGGAAGGCGGUGAGGUUAAUAACCUCACCGAUUGACGUUACCCGCAGAAGAAGCACCGGCUAACUCCGUGCCAGCAGCCGCGGUAAUACGGAGGGUGCAAGCGUUAAUCGGAAUUACUGGGCGUAAAGCGCACGCAGGCGGUCUGUCAAGUCGGAUGUGAAAUCCCCGGGCUCAACCUGGGAACUGCAUUCGAAACUGGCAGGCUAGAGUCUUGUAGAGGGGGGUAGAAUUCCAGGUGUAGCGGUGAAAUGCGUAGAGAUCUGGAGGAAUACCGGUGGCGAAGGCGGCCCCCUGGACAAAGACUGACGCUCAGGUGCGAAAGCGUGGGGAGCAAACAGGAUUAGAUACCCUGGUAGUCCACGCUGUAAACGAUGUCGAUUUGGAGGUUGUGCCCUUGAGGCGUGGCUUCCGGAGCUAACGCGUUAAAUCGACCGCCUGGGGAGUACGGCCGCAAGGUUAAAACUCAAAUGAAUUGACGGGGGCCCGCACAAGCGGUGGAGCAUGUGGUUUAAUUCGAUGCAACGCGAAGAACCUUACCUGGUCUUGACAUCCACAGAACUUUCCAGAGAUGGAUUGGUGCCUUCGGGAACUGUGAGACAGGUGCUGCAUGGCUGUCGUCAGCUCGUGUUGUGAAAUGUUGGGUUAAGUCCCGCAACGAGCGCAACCCUUAUCCUUUGUUGCCAGCGGUCCGGCCGGGAACUCAAAGGAGACUGCCAGUGAUAAACUGGAGGAAGGUGGGGAUGACGUCAAGUCAUCAUGGCCCUUACGACCAGGGCUACACACGUGCUACAAUGGCAUAUACAAAGAGAAGCGACCUCGCGAGAGCAAGCGGACCUCAUAAAGUAUGUCGUAGUCCGGAUUGGAGUCUGCAACUCGACUCCAUGAAGUCGGAAUCGCUAGUAAUCGUAGAUCAGAAUGCUACGGUGAAUACGUUCCCGGGCCUUGUACACACCGCCCGUCACACCAUGGGAGUGGGUUGCAAAAGAAGUAGGUAGCUUAACCUUCGGGAGGGCGCUUACCACUUUGUGAUUCAUGACUGGGGUGAAGUCGUAACAAGGUAACCGUAGGGGAACCUGCGGUUGGAUCACCU